UACAGAGGUCCCAAGCGUUGUUCGGAUUCACUGGGCGUAAAGGGUGCGUAGGUGGUGAGGUAAGUCGGAUGUGAAAUCUCCGAGCUCAACUCGGAAAUGGCAUUGGAAACUACUCUGCUCGAGGGUUGGAGGGGGGACUGGAAUACUUGGUGUAGCAGUGAAAUGCGUAGAUAUCAAGUGGAACACCAGUGGCGAAGGCGAGUCCCUGGACAACUCCUGACACUGAGGCACGAAAGCUAGGGGAGCAAACAGG
rnacentral:rRNA from 1 species